AGUGAACGCUGGCGGUAGGCCUAACACAUGCAAGUCGAACGGCAGCACAGUAUGAGCUUGCGCUUACGGGUGGCGAGUGGCGGACGGGUGAGGAAUACAUCGCAAUCUACUUUUUCGUGGGGGCUAACGUAGGGGAACUUACGCGAAUACCUCGUACGACCUGCAUGUGAAAGCAGGGAAUCUUCGGACGUUGCGCGAUUGGAUGGGCCGAUGUCGGAUUAGCUGUGUGGCGGUGUCAAAGCCCACCAAGGCGACGAUCCGUAGUUGGUCUGAGUGGAUGAUCAGCGACACUGGAAAUGAGACACGGUCCAGACUCCUACGGGAGGGAGCAGUGGGCAAUAUGGGACAGUGGGCGCAAGCCUGAUCCAGCCAUACCGCGUGGGUGAAGAAGGCCUUCGGGUUGUAAAGCAGUUUUGUUGGGAAAGAAAAGCAGCAGGUUAAUACCCCGCUGUUCUGACGGUACCCAAAGAAUAAGCACCGGCUAACUUCGUG
rnacentral:rRNA from 1 species